rnacentral:rRNA from 1 species
GUUCAGAGUAUUGCGCAAUGGGCGAAAGCCUGACGCAGCGACGCCGCGUGGAGGAUGAAGGUCUUCGGAUUGUAAACUCCUGUCAGAGGGGGCGAUGGAUUCCAUGGCGAACAGUCAUGGAGUUUGACAGUACCCUCAGAGGAAGGCAUGGCUAACUCUGUGCCAGCAGCCGCGGUAAUACAGAGAUGCCAAGCGUUGCCCGGAUUUAUUGGGCGUAAAGGGCGUGUAGGUGGUCAAGAAAGUCUGAUGUGGAAGCGCAGAGCUUAACUCUGCAAUUGCAUUUGAAACUACUUGACUGGAGUAUGGAAGAGGAAAGCGGAAUUUCCGGUGUAGCGGUGAAAUGCGUAGAUAUCGGAAGGAACACCAGUGGCGAAGGCGGCUUUCUGGUCCAAUACUGACACUGAGGCGCGAAAGCUAGGGGAGCAAACGGGAUUAGAAACCCCGGUAGUCC